UAGAUUUUUCCAAAGUCAAACUUCUCUAACUUCGACCAAAUUUUUAGAAAAAACAUAUCUAUAAGUUCAAAUAAAUGCACUAUUAAGACAUAUUUCAUAGAGAACUGAAUGGAACUAUUUUGGCAUUCUAGCUGUAUUUUUCUAUAGACUUGCUCAAAAGUUAGAGAAGUCUGACUUAUGACAAACCUAA
rnacentral:pre_miRNA from 1 species